GUUGGUGGAGUGAUUUGUCUGGUUAAUUCCGUUAACGAACGAGACCUCAGCCUGCUAACUAGUCGCGUUUAUCCUUUGUUCACCGUUCUUUCACUUGUCGGUGCUGGUGUGGUCUUGUGUUCUGCACUUGAUCCGUCAGUCCACUUGAGUUUGAGCAGAACAUUCCGGGAUAGGACAGAGCUUCGGUCUUUCUUGCCCCUUUGGGGUGAGUUUGAUCGUGUUCGAUGCAACUUCUUAGAGGGACUAUCGGUGUGUAGCCGAGGGAAGUUUGAGGCAAUAACAGG
rnacentral:rRNA from 1 species